AGACGGUCGGAUGAUCGCUGUUCAGCUUUCGGGCCGAAUAGAGGAAAGUCCGGGCUCCACGGAAACACGGUGCCGGGUAACGCCCGGCGGGGGCGACCCCAGGGAAAGUGCCACAGAAAGCAAACCGCCUAUUUAUAUAGGUAAGGGUGAAAGGGUGCGGUAAGAGCGCACCGCGUCAAUGGUAACAUUGAUGGCAAGGUAAACCCCACCGGGAGCAAGACCAAAUAGGGAUGACGCGUUCAUUAAAUUUAUUUGGUGAACAGGCGUGUUUUCGCGCCGUUAUCCGGGUCGGUCGCAGGAGGCGUUCGGCAACGAGCGUCCCAGAUGAAUGGUCAUCACCUCUUUUUCGAAAGAGCGUACAGAACCCGGCUUACAGACCGUCUGG
rnacentral:RNase_P_RNA from 1 species